rnacentral:rRNA from 1 species
AGAGUUUGAUCCUGGCUCAGGAUGAACGCUAGCUACAGGCUUAACACAUGCAAGUCGAGGGGAAACGACAUCGAAAGCUUGCUUUUGAUGGGCGUCGACCGGCGCACGGGUGAGUAACGCGUAUCCAACCUGCCCAUCACUUGGGGAUAACCUUGCGAAAGUAAGACUAAUACCCAAUGACGUCUCUAGAAGACAUCUGAAAGAGAUUAAAGAUUUAUCGGUGAUGGAUGGGGAUGCGUCUGAUUAGCUUGUUGGCGGGGUAACGGCCACCGAAGGCGACGAUCAGUAGGGGUUCUGAGAGGAGUCCCCANAUUGGAACUGAGACACGGUCCAAACUCCUACGGGAGCA